rnacentral:rRNA from 1 species
UACAGAGGGGGCAAGCGUUGUUCGGAAUUACUGGGCGUAAAGGGCGCGUAGGCGGCCUGUUAAGUCGAACGUGAAAUCCCCGGGCUCAACCCGGGAACUGCGUCCGAUACUGGCAGGCUUGAAUCCGGGAGAGGGAUGCGGAAUUCCAGGUGUAGCGGUGGAAAUGCGUAGAUAUCUGGAGGAACACCGGUGGCGAAGGCGGCAUCCUGGACCGGCAUUGACGCUGAGGCGCGAAAGCCAGGGGAGCAAACGGG